rnacentral:rRNA from 1 species
AGUGAACGCUGGCGGUAGGCCUAACACAUGCAAGUCGAACGGCAGCACAGUAAGAGCUUGCUCUUACGGGUGGCGAGUGGCGGACGGGUGAGGAAUACAUCGGAAUCUACUUUUUCGUGGGGGAUAACGUAGGGAAACUUACGCUAAUACCGCAUACGACCUACGGGGGAAAGCAGGGGAUCUUCGGACCUUGCGCGAUUGAAUGAGCCGAUGUCGGAUUAGCUAGUUGGCGGGGUAAAGGCCCACCAAGGCGACGAUCCGUAGCUGGUCUGAGAGGAUGAUCAGCCACACUGGAACUGAGACACGGUCCAGACGCCUACGGGAGGCAGCAGUGGGGAAUAUUGGACAAUGGGCGCAAGCCUGAUCCAGCCAUACCGCGUGGGUGAAGAAGGCCUUCGGGUUGUAAAGCCCUUUUGUUGGGAAAGAAAAGCAGCAGGUUAAUACCCCGCUGUUCUGACGGUACCCAAAGAAUAAGCACCGGCUAACUUCGUG